GACGAACGCUGGCGGCGUGCUUAACACAUGCCAGUCGAACGGAAAGGCCCUGCUUUUGUGGGGUGCUCGAGUGGCGAACGGGUGAGUAACACGUGAGUAACCUGCCCUUGACUUUGGGAUAACUUCAGGAAACUGGGGCUAAUACCGGAUAGGAGCUCCUGCUGCAUGGUGGGGGUUGGAAAGUUUCGGCGGUUGGGGAUGGACUCGCGGCUUAUCAGCUUGUUGGUGGGGUAGUGGCUUACCAAGGCUUUGACGGGUAGCCGGCCUGAGAGGGUGACCGGCAACAUUGGGACGGAGAGAGGGCCCAGACGCCAACGGGGGGCAGCGGGGGGGAAUAUGGAAAAGGGGGGGGAGGCCGGAGGCAGCCCCGCCGGGGGGGGGAGGAGGGCCUUGGGUUUGAAACCCGUUUCCGCCUGUGACGAAGGGGGAGGGAGGGUAAUGGGUAAAGAAGCACCGGCAAACUACGUG
rnacentral:rRNA from 1 species